rnacentral:tRNA from 1 species
UGUCUGUUAGUUCAGUCAGCUGAGCGUGGUGCUGAUAAGACCAAGGUCACGGGUUCGAUCCCCGUUCAGUCAG